rnacentral:rRNA from 1 species
GACGCACGCUUGCGGCGUGCUUAACACAUGCAAGUCGAACGCGUGGCGAACGGGAGAGUAACACGUGGGUGAUCUGCCUUGCCCUUCGGGAUCAGCUUGGGAAACUGGGUCUAAUACCGGAUAGUGCAAGAUGAGCUCGGGGACUAUCAGCUUGUGGGUGGGGUACAGGAUCCCAAGGCGCGACGGGUAGCCGGCCUGAGAUGGGGUACGGCCACAUUGGGACUGAGAUACAGACCCGACUCCAACGGGAGGGAGCAGGGGGGAAUAUUGCAACAGGGGCGGAAGCCGGAUGCAGGGACGCUGCGUGGGAGAGGAAGGCCUUAGGGUUGUAACCUCCUUUCGACAGGGACGCGGUACCUGUAUAAGAAGGACCGGCUAACGACGUGCCAGCAGCCGCGGUAAUAC